AUUCAGUUGAUGAAUCUCAAAUAGGAUGAAAUGUACGUUCUGGAU
rnacentral:hammerhead_ribozyme from 1 species